rnacentral:rRNA from 1 species
UACGUAGGGUGCGAGCGUUGUCCGGAAUUAUUGGGCGUAAAGAGCUUGUAGGCGGUUUGUCGCGUCUGCUGUGAAAAUCCAGGGCUCAACCCUGGACCUGCAUUCGAUACGGGCAGACUAGAGUUCGGUAGGGGAGACUGGAAUUCCUGGUGUAGCGGUGAAAUGCGCAGAUAUCAGGAGGAACACCGGUGGCGAAGGCGGGUCUCUGGGCCGAAACUGACGCUGAGGAGCGAAAGCGUGGGGAGCGAACAGG